AAUUUGCAGGAUGCGCUAGGACGGUGAAUUUUCCGCUUGCUGACUAGAGCACUGGUGCUCCUCUCAUCCCCACCCCGAUUCGGCGUCGCGCACGCCACGCCGGAUCUAUAGCCAGUAGGUGCGAUGAUAACCCAUCACCCAUCCCUGCUCCGCCUCCGCGCACCCCUCCCCGCCGGCCUCCGCCACGGGACUUCACACGCCUUGCUUUUCACCGCGGCCGCCUACUCUCCUCCUCCGCCGCCCCUCCGCCUGCUACCUCUGCGCGUCGCCGCUGGAGGAGCCUCACCGGUAGGUCCUGAUGGAGGCAAUCGCGCGACGCCUCCCCCGCUCGGAGCCGCGGCGCUCGACUUCGCGCGGAGCAACUUCCUCCCGCUAGCUCUAAUUGGUGGGAUGACUUUGGGACUCCUGGAUCCAACUCUUGGUUGCCUUGCUCACAAAUAUUCCCUGUCAAAAUACAGCACUUUUGGGAUAUUCAUUAUAUCAGUAAUGGCUUUCUCUUGCAUAGGGCUGACUCUGCGCACUAAGGAGCUUGGCGCAGCGUUACAAGCUUGGCCUGCUGGACUCUUUGGACUAGGCUCAAUUCUGUUGUUCACACCUUUUCUUGCACAAUUUCUUGUGCAAAUUCAGUUCUUCCCUCGUGAAUUUAUCACUGGGUUGGCUAUGUUUUGUUGCAUGCCAACAACAUUAUCAAGUGGAGUCACACUAACACAGCUUGCUGGCGGCAACUCCGCACUUGCUCUUGCAAUGACAGUCAUAUCCAAUCUACUGGGCAUUAUGUUUGUACCUUUGUCUCUUGCAAAGUACAUUGGCACUGGAGCUGGAGUGUCUUUGCCUACUAAGGAAUUAUUCAGAAGCCUGGUCAACACUCUUUUAAUCCCCCUUAUUUUAGGCAAGGUUGCCCGAGAAACCUCAAAAGGUAUUGCUGAAUUUGUUGAUGGAAAUCGCCAGGGCUUUUCAGUUUUAAGUGCUGUUCUUCUCAGCCUAGUCCCAUGGAUACAAGUAAGUAGAUCAAGAUCGCUGCUAUUGUCCGUUAAACCAAAAGCUUUCGCUGUUAUUGUGACUAUUGGAGUGCUUCUACAUCUCGCUCUGCUGGCAUUCAAUGCUACAACACUGCAGGUCUUGUCAUGUCUUAAACAGAAGGAAGAGUCAGUCUUUGCGAGAAAAGAGUAUGCACGAGCUGUCAUUUUGGUGGCCAGUCAGAAAACAUUGCCAGUGCUGGUUGCUGUGGUUGAGCAGCUUGGAGGUGCUCUUGGGGAGUCUGGACUUCUGGUCAUCCCAUGUGUUGCUGCGCACAUUAAUCAGAUCAUUAUCGAUUCUAUCCUAGUAAAUUGGUGGCGCAAAAGAGAUCAACGAUCUACUAAUGCAAAAUAGCUUCAGAAUUUGAAUCUGAUCUAAGUGCAAAGAUCUACCCGAGUGAGGCUUGACAAAUCCAUGGUGAAAUAGGUUAAUUGGACUCGGUAGAUCGCUUGGUGCAUGACAAGGUCAGGAUCCUUAUGAUCCUAGAACUAUUUAGUUCGAAGUCUACAUCAAUGUGGAGUAGGAUAAUGCCAACUAUCCGAACCAUGAACAUCGUCGCGCCCCUUAUGUUAGAGCUGGGGCUUGUGGAGACUGGAAGGCCUUUGCUCUGGCCCUCCAUUGGAUGAACAGAAAUUUCCUACGCCGAAGAUGUUGCUCUAAUUCGAGUUGGGGCUCCACGGUACUCGCACUAUGCUGACAAGAGUGAGAAUCAUUUCACGACAUGAUUAGCAAAUGGAUGUAAGUGUUCUGAAUGUUAGCCGCGAAACAAACUUGGUGAGGCGCUAGCAAGUUAGCUGGAGUAUAGGGAAGAUACAAGUACACUAGUUUCUUCUUAACAGCUCGUAAUAUGGUGAAAUAUACAGGUUUGUAUUGCAAGUUA